CCCGGCGGCGAGGACGGGAGAGAGGAGUGCGGUGCCGGUGCUGGCGGCAUAGAGGCUUGGAAAGGCGACGGAGCACGCGUGUCGAUGGAGCUGUGAGACGGGCGGUGGGAAGGAGGAAGAAGAGAGGAGAGAGCAAAUGGAUCCAGUAGGUCAAGGGGAUGGAGUUGGUGUAAUUUAAGGUGGGGUAGGUCUGUCAACUCCAACGUGGUGGCUGCGUCCGGGCGCCCCCAGGAUAUAAGGGAUGCCGGUCAGUCCAGGCAUUUGAGGCGCCCGUCUAAGACGAAUUUUCACGAUCAGUCAGUGACCGAGCCAUACGUCCAGACGUCUCUAUAGAUGCUCUAAGGGUCGGUUGGAUGUAUCAUAGGACGGAUGUACAUCAACCAAUGAUGUAAAAACAAAGAAAAUUGUAACACACCGACAAUUAUCUAGCAUCCUUAAAAGUACUAGUAAACGCGCACGUGCAACGCACGUGUAAUCUUAAUUCGGCUUGAAGAUAUACCUGAAUCUCUACUCCUAAUGAAGCAGUUGGUAGUCUCCGUCGAUUUUUUUUCGUCCCACCUUCGUCGGGUUUUUUUUCGUCCUCCUCCUAUGUCCCAGGUAACGAUGCCGUUGCACCUAACGCACGCAGAAAAAAAACCGGACAAAGACCACAUAGCGAGGGACCUCGAACGAAAAAUGUAGCGAUGUCCGUCGGACAAAAAAAACGGACGAACCGGGGGCGAUGCCCCCUCGCAUCCCCAUCCACCCACCCGUCCCGACCCUGGGCUAGGGUUCCAUACGCCGCCGCCUCCGGGCGGACCACAUACGCCGACGUCGAGGUCCGAAAGGAGAGGGCCGCCGCACUAUCUUCCGCCUCCACCGACCUCUGAGGCCCCCUACUCGUGGGACGACGCCGCCGCCGCCUUGCGGAACCCCAGGGCGGGGCAGGGCAUGGUCGCGUUGCGGGCAGCGAGGAGCGGCGCGCCGGCGCCGGCGCGUGCGUAGCCAGUUAGCGAGAGAGGAAGGGAGUGGCGACGAUGUCUUCGUGCGAGGACAAGGACUCUGCCGCCGCCCGGGCCGCGGCGACCACGGACGUGGAGCUGAUGAAGCGGUUUUGGCUCAGCGAGAAAGCCGCGCCGGAGAUCCUCCACUUCAAACCCACCUCGUCUCCCGUACCUUAUGGCCAUUGGUCGUGUCUUCGUUCUUCACAAUACUGAAUGUUUCUGAUUCUUCACAACCUGUGUGGUGAAACCAGGAGGAGACGUUCGAUGACUUCACGGAUAACGGCAUCGACAAUCUGGUGGUCUCGCUGUACCAGAUGGAGCUCGACCGCAUGCUCUUCUUGCUCUGCUUCUACCUACGCCUCCUCCUGCAAAAGGUCAGACUGAAUUCUGCAAAAGAUUGAGAAGUACAUGGCGCACAUCUUCAAUUCUGACGACCUCUUGAGCUGGUUGACGCAGCAGGAGCAGUGAUGCGCCAAGAGUUGGAGGCUGCAAGGAGAUCCUGGAGAAGCAUCUCGAGCAGCCGGUGAUGUCGAAGCUUCCCUACAGUUAUGAUUCGGGUCACGUCCGCGCUGGUGUACACGGCGCUGGAGUGGAUCCUCAUCACGCUGCUGCACAUCACAUGCUCCUCUUCCACUCCAUUGCCCGCUGGAGUGGAUCCUCAGGCCACCUUGCCUCCUCUGCUCCCGCGGAGAACGGCCAGCAGGCGGCAACACGCGGUCGCUGCGUGAACUCUGUGCCGAAGAUCUCCGGGCUGGGCUACUGCCUCCACCACCGCCGGCUCGUCGCCUCCGCCGCCGACAUGUGCGAGGGAUGCCUGAUGACGAAGGAUGCAGAGGAGAAGGGCACCGUGGUGUUUUCUUGCUGCAGAGCUCUCAUACAGAUUUCUUCUUCACACAAGCUGGAGGACACACAUACUACAAGGGAAGAAGAUCCUUCUGUACAAGGGAAGACAGCCGAAGAAGAAGAAAAUCAAGGCUAUGUUCUGCUGGAUCAAGAAGACCAUGAAGAGGAAGAACACGAGCAGGCACAGGUGGACCAGCAAGGGGAUAUUUAGGUGGCUGCCGUGGAGGACGAGUCCUAGGAGUUCAUGGUUCAGGGCGAAGAGAUCACACCCGACAACGAUCGAUUGGUGCCGGUGCUGGUGCCCACACUUGAUGAAAUGACAAUUGCUAAUGAUUUUGGUCUGCAUCCGGAGACCGGCGAGCAGUAUGAACAAAAUAAUAAUCGCGUGUUUUUCCCUCGGCUUCUUGUACCCCAACCUCUCGGACCCCUUGAACGGGGAGGCCGCUUCGCUGAUGAUGCGCGACAAGAAAUCAUAUGACCAAAAAGUCCAAGAAUCUGAUACGUGACGAUCGGACGGACAAAAAAGUUCGGUGUGUGACGAUCGGAUUUCUUCUUCUUCUUCAUGCUGUACUCUCCAUCUCUUGUCUCUUUCUCAUGGCGGUGUGUGACUGUUGAUCGAGGACCGCAGCGUCAGCUACCCAGGUAUAAGCGCGUGGUUGCGUGCCGACCGUCGACUGGGACGCACAUGAGGCUACCAUUCUUCUACCGGUACGCAGCAGCCAAGUGCCACCGCCGAGCCCUUGAUUUGCAUCCUCCCGGGGCACCAUAAAUGGAGCACCAAGGUUAAAAAAGCCCCAUGUUGUUGGCCUCCUUUCUAUUGAAAUAUAUCAUUUUACAUGCUCACACUACUGGAAUCGUCACGUACACCGAGUGCCAAGAACACUCGGCAAAGGGCCAAAAACCCUCGGCAAAGUCUUUGCCGAGAGUUGCACUCGGCAAAGCCCACCCGGCGUACACCUCUUCGGCAAACAGAUUUUUGCCGAGAGCCAUUUGUCGGACACUCGGCAAAGACAUUGCCGAGUUUCAAAUAGAGGCGCUCGGCAAAGAAAAGUGAUCAGAAGAAACAGAGCAAACGGCGCUAUAGCCACAUGGCGCAGGAGGUUUGCCGAGAGCGCCACUCGGUAAAAGUAGUGAAUAAAACAAAAAAAAAAUUGCACCGCCCGAUCCCGUCCCAGAUUUAAUCGUGGCCAAAUCCAGUCGCCGGCGCUGCUCCCAUCGCGUGUGCCCCGCCCACGCACCCGUGGUGGUCACCGUAGUGCCGCAAUGGCCGCGUUGGUGAGCUGCGCACAGGCCUCCGACGUUCAGGGAAGGCACAGAUCAAGAGGAGGACGGCGAGAUGCAGUGUUGCACGGAGCAGCCGCCUCCUCACGCCUUGCGUCAAAGCCACCGGACUGAUGCUGCUUGCACACGUGCUUGACCACUUGUUGCUGUCGUGGCCGAGAAAGAGGAGCAGCAGCGGCGGCCGGGGCUGUUGUUGCUUGCGCGUGCUUGCUGCUGCUUGGUGCUUCGGCCGAUGCUUGCGGCUGCGCCGCUGCUGUCCGGCGAGGAGCAGCGAGUGUAGCCUGCUGCUGCUGCUUGGGUGAAGAAGAAGAAGAAGAAGAAGAAGAAGAAGAAGAAGAAGAAGAAGGGGACAGGACCUGUGGCGGCGCG